rnacentral:rRNA from 1 species
UACGAAGGGGGCUAGCGUUGCUCGGAAUCACUGGGCGUAAAGCGCACGUAGGCGGAUUGCUAAGUCAGGGGUGAAAUCCUGGAGCUCAACUCCAGAACUGCCUUUGAUACUGGCGAUCUCGAUCCGGGAGAGGUGAGUGGAACUGCGAGUGUAGAGGUGAAAUUCGUAGAUAUUCGCAAGAACACCAGUGGCGAAGGCGGCUCACUGGCCCGGUACUGACGCUGAGGUGCGAAAGCGUGGGGAGCAAACAGGG